rnacentral:lncRNA from 1 species
AAAGGGCACUGGCAGGAAGCAGUGCCAUGAAACACUGUAAAGGACCCCGUGGACAAAUCUGUUUGAGAAACAGUACCUCUAUCACCCACCUCUUAGGGAUUCUUAAUGUUCUGUCUCUCACAGUUCUAGGAAACCCUGCAGUAUAGAAAUCCAUUGAAUGAUUUUAGCCCCAUAUUUCCUCAUCCUUUUUGUGUAUGGAGCCCUUUUUGCACCCCAUUUCUUUCCCUGGGAAACUGUUCUUCCUUCUCGAGUUCUUAGUCAUCUAGCAUUAUGAGAAGCAGCAGGGCUGGGACCAGAACCAGUGCUGCACCCCGCUCACAGACUCAAAUCAUGUGAUAGGUGCACCUAGAAAGACUGGAUCUCUUCUCUGAAGACUUGAAGACUCAGAACCGGCAGAUGAUUGUACUGAAGCGUGAAGUGGUAAGUGUCCCUGACUCUGUCUUCUCUCUGGGGUCUGGGCAGGGUGCGGAGGGGAAAAUAGCAUGGUCUGGAAAGGUUUUUUGUAAGUGUGGAACAUCCCUUGUUCCCCACCCCACUCUACAGAUGUCUCUCCAAAAAGCGAUUAACGCCAUCCCCAGAUCUGAUGACGUGGUGCUUUGGAGUGGCCUCCACGAGGCCAUGUUCAGCCCAGUGAGUGGAGGAGGAGGAGCCGGGGCAGGAAUGUGGGGAGCUGGCCUGCCCCAUCAGCCCGUUCUUCCUCAGGGGACUGCUUCACUAGAGCUGGAGCUGUCCAACAUGUGGCCGACCACAGAGCCACCUCCACAGGCUGCCUUUGCUCAGACUCAGAACCUUGAAGGUGUUGUUCACACCCAUGUGGCGGAGCUUAUCCAAGGUCCCAGGCUCCUACAGACUUCCUGGCACUCUGAUAUCCAGGUACCCCUACCAAACCAGGAAUCUGUCCAAUCACUUCCAUCUGGCAGUGCCAAGGGUCCAGGACAGCCUCAGGCUCUCAUUGCUGGGCCUGGGCCUGCAGCUGGACCUGCAACUGUGCUGGGACCAGAGUCCCACGCCAUGGCUCCAGUAGGGCCCCAUGUGACACCUGGGUUCGUACCAGCACCUUUGCCCGCCUCUGGACCUGGGACUGGCCCUUCGCCUUUCUGGGCUGAAGGUUUGCUUCAGCCUGGCACAAGUGCAUCAGGCUUCCUGCAGUCCCCUCAGCACCAGCCUUCCAAGGCGCCACCCCCAGCUCGGGAGUUUGGAUCAGCAUGGCCUCUUUCACUGCAGCCUUAUCACCCUCGCAAGGCAGAGGCCCAUCAGCUCCCAGCGGUUGAAGAAAAGGAGGAAAAAUAUUUUACCCACUAUGUGAGACACACUCAGGAGGGAUCUCCCAAGAAUGGGGAACUCAAAGAGAAGGCCUCCCAGGAUGGGUCCCCCAGAGAUGGAGCCCUCAGGGAUAGGGCCCUAGAAGCGCGACCUAAGGGCCCCAAGUCUGUCCUGCAUCGGCUGAGAACCACCAUUGCCAAUGCUGCCACUGUCACCGCUGCCCAUGCAGCUGCUGCAACCUCAGCAGCCCGGACAGCCAGAGCUGCAGCAAAGGCAUUAGAGGAUGCCCCUGCCACCAAAAUGGCUACUGAGGCAACAACCAUGGCAGCAUCCGGGCCAUUAGGGGUCUUUGCAGAUGUCCUAGGUGCAGGGAUUUCCCGCGGAGCCCUAGAAGCUCUUGGCACUGAUGAUGAGAAGCAGGAAGACUUGAUGGCAGACUAUGAAACGUUCUCUCCCCUAUCUACCCUUGGCCUCAACACUCAUGAACCAGCGCUGUCCCAGGCUAUGCUGUAUGCCACGCAGGCCAUAAGCCCUGAAGACAAGAAGAAAGCUGUCAAGUACUCCAUGAGCCACGUAGCCCAAAUGCCUGUUAGACAUGACACUUUGAAAGAAGAGUUUGCUCAUCUGUCAUCUGAUUUGCAACAGCGCUUCAAUUAUCUAGUUGACAUGGCAGGUGCCUCCAGGAUUGGAACGGCAGUGGACCUAUUGGAGGAAAGGGUUGACAACCUCCAGAAAUCUGGGCUAAAGAUUCUCCAGUCUCAAAUCAAAUCCCUGGAGCAGAGCAAGGUGAAUAAGACCACCAUGGAGCAGGAACUGAAAGAAAAAGCCGACAGGAGUGCACUGGCAGGCAAGGCCAGUAGGGCUGACCUGGAGACCGUGGCGAUGGAGCUGAACGGCGUGAUCCAGGGCAUGUUCUUGAAGGUUUCAACCCAUGAGGAUGACUGGAAGAAGUCGUAA